GUAACAGGUGGGGUGUCCUACACUAUAAACUGUCAGUAUGAUGUAACAGGUGGGGUGUCCUACACUAUCAACUGUCAGUAUGAUGUAACAGGUGGGGUGUCCUACACUAUAAACUGUCAGUAUGAUGUAACAGGUGGGGUGUCCUACACUAUAAACUGUCAGUAUGAUGUAACAGGUGGGGUGUCCUACACUAUCAACUGUCAGUAUGAUGUAACAGGUGGGGUGUCCUACACUAUAAACUGUCAGUAUGAUGUAACAGGUGGGGUGUCCUACACUAUCAACUGUCAGUA